rnacentral:rRNA from 1 species
GGUUACAUAUUAACAACCCUGUCAAAGCCUGAUCUUAUUUGAUCUCAAAAGCUAAGCAAGACUUGGUGUGGUUAGUACUUGGAUGGGAGACCACAAGGAAUACCAGCAGUGACUGUAGACU